rnacentral:rRNA from 1 species
AAUGCAUGCACAGAUGGCGG